GUGGGGAAUUUUGGACAAUGGGCGAAAGCCUGAUCCAGCCAUUCCGCGUGAGUGAAGAAGGCCUUCGGGUUGUAAAGCUCUUUCGCAAGGGAAGAAAACUUAUAUUCUAAUAAAGUAUGAGGAUGACGGUACCUUGAUAAGAAGCACCGGCUAACUACGUGCCAGCAGCCGCGGUAAUACGUAGGGUGCGAGCGUUAAUCGGAAUUACUGGGCGUAAAGCGUGCGCAGGCGGUUUUGAAAGUCAGAUGUGAAAUCCCCGAGCUCAACUUGGGAACUGCGUUUGAAACUCCAAAGCUAGAGUAUAGGAGAGGGGGGUAGAAUUCCACGUGUAGCAGUGAAAUGCGUAGAGAUGUGGAGGAAUACCAAUGGCGAAGGCAGCCCCCUGGCCUAAUACUGACGCUCAUGCACGAAAGCGUGGGGAGCAAACAGGAUUAGAUACCCGGGUAGUCC
rnacentral:rRNA from 1 species